GGCGCACGGGUGCGUAACGCGUAUGCAACCUACCUUCUACAGGGGGAUAGCCCAGAGAAAUUUGGAAUAAUACCCCAUACGAUCAUUAAUUGGCAUCGAUUGAUGAAGAAAACUCCGGUGGUAGAAGAUGGGCAUGCGUCCUAUUAGUUAGUUGGUGAGGUAACGGCUCACCAAGACGUCGAUAGGUAGGGGUCCUGAGAGGGAGAUCCCCCACACUGGUACUGAGACACGGACCAGACUCCUACGGGAGGCAGCAGUGAGGAAUAUUGGACAAUGGAGGCAACUCUGAUCCAGCCAUGCCGCGUGCAGGAAGACGGCCCUAUGGGUUGUAAACUGCUUUUAUACAGGAAGAAUUGUACCUACGUGUAGGUAUUUGACGGU
rnacentral:rRNA from 1 species